rnacentral:lncRNA from 1 species
AAUAUGGUUGUGCAUUUUCUGAGAACUCAUUUGUAAACUUCUUGGUAAUGAUUCUCCUGUUUUAUAUUCUAGGUCCUUUAAACUGGAUGACUAGUUCCUUGGGAAGGAAGGAGACUCUCACUGGAUUAGUGAAUAACAAUGAUGACUAAGGGCAGAUCUCCAUACGACCUUUCUCUAGAAGGCUCCCUCCUCCAUGUUUAUAAGAUCCAUCUACCAAAGCUAAUGCUUGCCAUCAGAGAGCCUGGUUUAAUUAAACUGUGGUUCCAGACAAAAUGGAGUAGGAAGCAGUAGAACCCUGCUGCAGCUGCAACAACUUUAACAAGGGGACUAAACCUCUGAAAUUACGUUCUCAAAGACAUCAGAAAAUGGUGGAAGCAGACACGACUAAAUGAAAUCAACCAGAGGCAAGAGAGCCCUACCCAAAUGAGUGGGCGGCCACUGGCUGCUUUCUGCCCUGGGGAUGUUUGCCAAUUCCAAGUGCAAGAUGAGGCUCGAGCUUGGCCUGAGUACAAGGAUGUUAGUGUGAGAAAAAACACUGCCAGAGUUUUGGGAGGUUGUGUGGAGCUGGGAUGACAAUUUGAAAACUUCCGGAGCCCUAAAUAGGCAAAGUCCCUUUCCCUCUGUGGUUCAUUUACUGAGUCAAGGGGCACUUGGAAGGUUAAGGAACUCCUCUAAAACAGCAGACUGAAAUACACUGUGGUCCUACAGAAGUGGGGAGACAGAGUCCACCUCCUGGAGGAGCAUCUGCUGCAAGCCUAGGGCCAGUCUCCUCCUUAAGAUAGUUACCAAAUUUAGAAAAACGUGGGAUCUGGAGACUAGAGGGCAAAAUUCAAAACUGUCAAAAGGCAUAUCACCUGCCCUGGGGGCUCUGUGGGUGGAAAUGAAAGAGGCAAGACCUGAGAGUCUAGCAGUCAAAAUCCACAGAAAGAUCUUCUCAACUCUGAAACAUUUGAAACAAGUGAUAGACUCAGUUUGACUAAAUCCCUAUCCUUGAUUAAAUCAUCAAAGAGCAAAUCCUUUCCGGAUCAAAAGGUAAUACGAACUUCAGUCUCUAUACAGUUUCAUUGUGUUCUUUUAUGCACAGUGUCUAGCAUAAACUAGAAAAUUAUAAGAUAUGAGAAGAGGAGGGGGGAGCCUUUUGAAGCAGAGAGAUGACCUACAUGUUGAAAUUAGCAGGCAACCUUUUUAAAUAAUUGUUAUUAAUAAUGUUAAAAAAUAAGGGGAAAGGUGAACAAACUAUUAAAAUAUGGAGACUUUCAAUAGAGAAUUGAAAUUAUAGGAGUUCCCAUUG